rnacentral:rRNA from 1 species
UGGGGAAUUUUGGACAAUGGGCGAAAGCCUGAUCCAGCAAUGCCGCGUGUGUGAAGAAGGCCUUCGGGUUGUAAAGCACUUUUGUCCGGAAAGAAAUCCUUGGCUCCAAUACAGUCGGGGGAUGACGGUACCGGAAGAAUAAGCACCGGCUAACUACGUGCCAGCAGCCGCGGUAAUACGUAGGGUGCAAGCGUUAAUCGGAAUUACUGGGCGUAAAGCGUGCGCAGGCGGUUUGCUAAGACCGAUGUGAAAUCCCCGGGCUCAACCUGGGAACUGCGUUGGUGACUGGCAGGCUAGAGUAUGGCAGAGGGGGGUUAGAAUUCCACGUGUAGCAGUGAAAUGCGUAGAGAUGUGGAGGAAUACCGAUGGCGAAGGCAGCCCCCCUGGGCCAAUACUGACGCUCAUGCACGAAAGCGUGGGGAGCAAAACAGGAUUAGAUACCCCUGGGUAGUCCACGCCCCUAAAACGAUGUCAACUAGUUGUUGGGGGACUUCAUUUCCUUAGUAACGUAGCUAACGCGUGAAGUUGACCGCCUGGGGAGUACGGUCGCAAGAUUAAAACUCAAAUGAAUUGACGGGGUCAUAGCU